rnacentral:lncRNA from 1 species
UAUAUCAUCCAAUUUGAAUCGUCAAAAUACAUAUUACAAACACAAAUUCUCUUCACCAAAAUCAAUUAUUAAAAUGCCAUGAACAUACAACAAUACACAUAUUUUAAGUUCUCAAUACAAUUAUUGUGCGGACAAUAUUAACACCCAAAUUAAGUUCUGAAUACAAUUAUUGUCACAAUAUUUUAUAAUGUAUUGAAAAACUUUUACAGUCUUGGACCAUCACUCCAUUCUCUUGCUCUCCCCGCUAGACCCGGCUACACUCUUAUUUAUUGGAAGGAGUUAUGAAACAAAAGGGUGAUCACAAAUAGCCUAGUAAAGAAUAUCAUAAAUAAGAUAUUUAGAACAUAGGGUAGCUGAUGUAAAUAAUUGUAGCGGAAUGAUCAAUUCAAAAUGGUUCAGAUAAUAAUAUCUUCUAUCUUCUCCAAUUGAAAAUUUUCAGGUCAAUAUUUUAUCCAUGUUACAUCAAUCAACAGUUCCUCUUUGCACCCCGACCAAUGAGAACUUCCACCGCCUGUCUUUAUAUGUAACAUCAAAGAUCAUGCUUAUACUAACUCAAGUUCCUAUUCAUAAUCAUUGCAUUCAAUAUUUCUUGGUCAUAAUCAUGCCGAUCAAUUUAUCUUUGCACCCAGACCAAGUAUAUUCAAUUAUAACACUAAUGGUCAUGAUCAUACCAAUCCAAAAUUUAUCUUUGCACCCAGGUCAAAUAUAUUCAACUGUAACACCCAUGGUCAUGAUCAUGUCAAUCAACAAUUACUCUUUGCACCCAGGCCAAAGAGAAUUUUCACCACGUGUAAUUGCCACAUAGGCAGAACAUACUCAACAAUUAUCUUGUCUUUGCACCCAUACCAAGGACAUUUAGAACAACUUAAUCUUAAUAAUUAGUAAAGAUAACAAUGAUGUAAUGAAUGGAGAAAAAUAAUUAGAAUAAUAAUAUAAAGAAUAAAUAUUAAUA